UAACAUGUGAACCGUCUCUACUUUUACUGUUCCACAUGACUACACCUUUCCUCCAUAUCUCUCUAUUCCUUUCUUUUUAUCUGCAACAUCUCUCGAAUCAGCUCCUCGCAUAAGAGGGAAUCAUAUGCUUAUGCAUCUAAUUAUCUCUUUGAUGGUUAUUUUUGAAAUUUAUCCGGUGAACAAUGGGUUGUGACAUAGCUUUUAAAUUCUGAUGUGAUGAUUAAGGAACACUCUUAUAAGUCAGGACAAUGAAUCUCUCUUAUGUUGCGGGUUAUAUAUCAACAAUGGAUACGGAGUGACUGAAAUGGUGCAGGAUGCCAUACCUAUAGAAACUAGCAGCCUUGGAGAAGUCAUGUGCAGAUAUAAUCCUGGAUAAAGCAAGAUGAAUACACCAUUUUUGGUACCAUUGCUUUUCAUGAUCAAUAGUCUCGAUGGGCAGACGGAGUAACCAUUCGGUAAUGUGGUGUGACCGUGUGAGCAAAUUGGAGAAAAUAGUAGACAUCACAAAGAUGGCCUACGCUUAACGAUCCACAGAUGCCAAGGGAUUGACUCAUCCCUUCUCUUUUCAAAAGAAGCAGGACUCAACAAAGGGUGGGGUGGUCGUGGAGAUUACUGAAGGUGUGAACAACUUGGAUAAAAUGGUAGAAAUCACAAACUGUGCUUACUUUUAAUAAUCCACAAUUGCCAAGGGAUUAACCCAUCUCUUCUCUUCUCAAAGAAGCGAGCAAAAGAAGCAGGGAUCAAUGAAGGGUGGGUGGUCUUGGAGAUGUAGGAAUUACCUAUAGGUACUAGUUUAGUGAUACUAGUUAGUGGCAGGUCCAUCCACAAAAGCCCAGUAACAAGAGGUCCAAAGUUUUAAAGAAAAAAGAAAACUGGACCUAAAAUUUUAUUCCCAGGUCCUAUACAUGUGCGAGAUACAUGAGACAUAUUUUUAAAUUCCCAAAACACCCUCAUGUAUAUAAAAACAGGGUAACUAAAUUUCAUUUCAUUUUUUCUCUUUUCAUUUCAAUCUCUCAGAUCCAAAUCGGAGAGCAGCUAGAAGAAGGAAAAAAUUCUUGGGUUUUAAUCGUCGAACGCGAGAUUAUUUAUUUCAAUCUUGUUUCAUUAGCCGAGAUUUAGUUAGUUUUAAUGUUGUCUCAUAUUUUUUUGAAACUAUUUGGAUUUGAUUUUCAGUCUAAUGGCGAAAUCAAUUGAGAUACUGUAUAUGAAGUUGUUGCUUCCUACAGAUCAAGAAAAUUAGCUAAGAUUUAGUCAAGGUUCGUUGUUGUUCGUCGUAGUGGAUUGUAAUUCGAUUGAUAAUUUUUUCAGGUUUUUUAUCCACUAGCAUAUGCUUAGUUCCUGGAGAAGAUGUUGCAUUAGUUUCUGGAGAAGAUGUUGCUGCUUGGUCCUCUUCAAAUAAGGAUUAGCUCAUGAUGUUGAUUUCUUAUUCAAGAACUUUCAUCAGUUUUUGAAUUAUGUAAUAGGGAAUCUAUCUCCUAAAACAUUGUUGCGCUGCUGAUUUGAACAGUAAAAAAAGAUAAAAAAAAACUAUCGAUGUAUCAUAUUGGUUAAAAUAAAACAGGGUUUUUUCAGUACAUCAUAUAUGUACUACUAAUU